CAGUAGCCGCGGGAAUACGUAGGUGGCAAGCGUUGUCCGGAAUUAUUGGGCGUAAAGGGCUCGCAGGCGGUUUCUUAAGUCUGAUGUGAAAGCCCCCGGCUCAACCGGGGAGGGUCAUUGGAAACUGGGAAACUUGAGUGCAGAAGAGGAGAGUGGAAUUCCACGUGUAGCGGUGAAAUGCGUAGAGAUGUGGAGGAACACUAGUGGCGAAGGCGACUCUCUGGUCUGUAACUGACGCUGAGGAGCGAAAGCGUGGGGAGCGAACAGGAUUAGAUACCCCGGUAGUCCCUGUCUCUUAUAC
rnacentral:rRNA from 1 species